CCUGCCUAGCCCCGCCCCCCGCCAGACCCAGUCCAGCCCCUCAUAGCUGUGCGCCCCGCCCACGAAGGAGGUCACGCCCCCUUCCGGUGGCUGUCUUGCUGGGAGCAGAAGAGGCGAGUCCUGGCGGGGCUUGGCCUGACAGGCCCGGAGCCGAACCGCCCCUUUCGCGGUUGGCUCAGGAAAGAGCCAGAUUUGUUUGUUUGUUUGCUUGUAGCUUUUCCUUCUCUCAGCUCCUCGCUCAUCCAGAAAUAGAGGUAAAGUGCCCAGGCCAAGUCUCAUAAAACGCCCCCGCGUGCGAACAAGUGACUGGGCUCCUGAGACCUAUUCUUUGAGGCGUUGCUUCAGUGUGGGAUGCCUGAGGGGUUGGGCAAGGAUGAAAGAAGCCGGAGAUUGUAGUGUCCAAGUGUAAAAGCUUCCCCUGGUGCUGCUUGCACGCUUGAGGAACGUGCGUCCUGGCUAUGCGAGGUGUGAACUGGGCUGAGAGAGAAUGGACAUACCACAUGGAAGCUGCUGACAGGGAAAAAAUGACCUGGAAAAUGGAGAAAUAGCUAACUGCUUGGGUUUGGGGCUAGGAGAUGCGACAAGAAGCAGAUAGUGCCAAGGUUCUGAAGUAGCUUUUAAAUGACCUUCGGCAUCCCCCUUUAACAUAUUUUUAUCCCUUAUGAGAAAAAAAAAGAUUCAAAUUCUAUCCAGAAUGAGACAAAAUGUGACAUAUCAAGCAAUGAACAUCCUCUGUCAUGUUAUUUCUAAGCUAUCUACACUUAAUAUAGGUUUCCGGUAAUUUAUUGUGAAAACAAAGUUAGAUGCUUGUUUUGGUCUUACCUUUACGGAAAAAGAACACUUUUACAUAAUUAAAAUUUUAAGGAAGAAAUUUUCUACUUGAAAUAGAUAUUUACAGUUAAUAAAAUUUCAAUUUAAAUGUGCUUUAGUAAGCAAGGGAAAUAAUUUUUGGAAACUUGUUCUUGAGGUGUAACGGUAUCUAGUUUUCUGUGCAUGCACUUUUAAAAGAGCACCUUGACCUUCUUGUCUUUGUUCUUCCCUGUCUUCUUUCUAGCAUGAUCUGAUAGUUUCCAAUAUAUCAUUAUUUAUUGUUGGAAACAACAACUCCUGCUGGUUUAUCAAUAUCCCCAAGAUCGAAGCCAAAAUCCAGUCUGGCUUCCCAAAGCCAUCACAGUAUUAUCCCCUUCACUUAUGGUGAAACAUCAAGGGAGUUAGAAGGAUGCUUCUGGUAUCUCAGUGGCUUGAUCUUUCACUAGUAAAGAAUCUCUUAGUUCUUAAUAUAUCUUAGACUUUCAGGAGUUCUAUAUUAAGGGUGAAGCUAACUCUUCAGUAUCCUUCCAAAGCAGCUGCCUGUGGAAAGAUGAGACAGAUGAAGAGGAGGUGCCCGGAGAACUGUUGGUGGGGUUGGUCAAAUGCUGCAGAGUGUACUGCCUCAUAGUUUUAUCCAGGACCUUGUUGGAUAUUGUCCCAUCCAUUUGCUGUCUCCGGCUUCCGUUCUGUCAUAGCCAUGUACUAUUGCUGGCUCUUUUUCCUUGACUUGUAAUUCAUUCCUAUUCUGCCUAAUACCUGAAUGGACAGACCAGCUGAUCCAGAAUUUCUUCACUGUUGUUCCACCAGUCAUGAUCAUAACCCACUAACAGUUCCUUGAUAUGACAGAAUGUACACACCAUUUAUUGGGGUACUGAAUUAUGCAGCAAAUAAUAGGACUGGAUCCAGACAAUAUGUUUAGUUUACCAGCCACAUUGUAAACAUGAGAGAUUAUGGAACAGAUUUUAAUAUCAUUCUUGUACUCCUAAUACAAUACUUAUUCUACAUGGAAUACUGACUGCUUGAGGUAAGUUGUCUAUUUGUAAUUGUUCUUUUUCAAAGGAGACAGACUAGGGAUAUGUUUGUUUUGUGUUUUUUCACCAAUGCAUAUUAUUUUUAAUUAGUUUUGUUUGCGUUUUUAGAUAGCAAAGAAUUCUUAGAAAAGGGAAUAAUGAAGUAUAGCUUAUAUUUGCAAGUCAUUCAACCACAAUCAAAGAAAAAAGGGAGUAAACCAGGAAGUAGAAUUAGAAUAAAGUAUAGCAAUUAUUGACUCUACAGUAGCAGAAAUAUUUUAUUUUACAUUGCAAAACUUAAUGGAGAGUGAUAAAAGUAUAUCUCCUUGAGAAGAACAUCUAUCAGACAGCAUUUGUGUGGUCAACUCUGAGGUUAUUUUUAAUGCCCAAAGUAUUUGAUUUAUUCAAUAAUAUAUGCUAAACCUGAGGUAUGUUAAGGCAUUGGUGGUUGUUUUCCAAGCAAGUACCCUAGGCUAAACCAGUUGCAAAAUCUGCAUUGCUUAAAAAUAUUGUCUAGGUCAUUGAUGCUUAUGAAGAAUAGAAAUACAGUUAUAUUAAUAUGGACAAUGUCAAUAGACAAUAUAGAGUGGAAAGGGGAAGGCCUUUGAUAUCAGACUAAAGUUGAAUGUUUUACUUCUCUCUGGAUAUCACUUUGUUCAUAUGUGAAAUUGCAAUCAUAAAUACCUUCCCAAGUUAAUGUGAGGGUUACACAAAAUUAAGUAGAUGUUCACUAGGGCUAUUGCAGUUACUAUGUUGCAAGAGAUAAAAAAGUCAAUUUCAUAUGGAAGAAAUUACUCUAAUACUAAUGAAUAGCUUCUAUUUCCAUUUUAUGAAGAUAUUUUAUACAUUAUAGUAAGUUUAGGAUAGAACAAAAAGCAUAUUAUGGUUAAAUAAAAUUUUAGGUGAAAAAGCUUCAGUAAUAAGAAAUAUAUGAUAUCAUGUAAAAUUUCUUAACAAAGGCCUCAAAUUAGAAAACAAGAUUUAUUUUGGUGCUAGUUACUUUGAAGCCUUUUGAUUCUAGUUAAGAUACUGUUUCGUUUAUAUCGAUGAAAUCAAAAUUUUAUUCAAAAUCUGAUCUGAGAUGGAAGAAUUAUAGUUAUAUCAAAUAAUUUUUCUUUUUUGGUGAUAACACUACAUACUGUAUUACUGUUUCUCCACUUUCUUCUAUUCCAGCUCAAUCCCAAUAUUAAAAGCUUGGGCAAUCCUUAAAACAUAUUUUAUGUGAGACUGAUGUAGUGCAUACUGCACAAAGGAGGCACCUUCAGGGUUUAUUCUAAACAAACGUGACAAUUUGGGUUAGCUCAAUAAUGCUAAAAUUCAUUUCAAAAGAAGAGCUUGUGGUUCCCUCAACAUCUAUUAGCAUUUCCAGUGAUAGUAGUGGGAAAAUUCCCAAAUAGAAUAAAAAAGAAUUGAAGGAAAAUGUCAUCAAUAAGAAUAAAUUCUUCAGAAAUACCCAAUGAUUUAUUUAUAAAACAAGUAUAAUAAAAGAACUCUGCUGAAAGAUAGUCUGACUUUGGUCAGUUCUUUGAUCUAUUCCAGUAAGCUAUUAUUAAUCAUUAAAAUAUAUUUUGUUUUAGUAUUUCUAGUUAUUGUACAUAUUUUAGAGAGAUAAAAUCUUAUCAGGUAUACAACUCAAGCCUGUUAUUAGACUUUCUAGACUAGUUUAAAAAAAUCAAUAAUUAUUGGAACUUUCCUUAUUGGAACACUAGUAUAGCACAACCAUCUGCUACUUUUAUUUUCCUUUUUUUUUUAUCAAGUACACAUCAAAGGGAAAGGUGUAAAUACCACUUGAAAACUGCUUUACAUAUUAUUUAUUCAACAGGCAAGUCGUAUGUUAUACACAUUGGAGGCUUGCCAGUUUUAUCACUUGCUCUCAGGUCACAAUUUCAUGUUUAUAGAACACUAGAUUUACCCUUUCUACAAUGAAUUUGUAGCCACUUCUUUUUUUCCCCACUGACUCAGUUCUCUACUGUUUCUGAGCAGCAGGUAAGAAUGCCAUCUAGUCUUCAACCACAAUGGAGAAGCAAGAUCUUAUAACAGAAUAAAUAAACUUCAUUUGGUUUGGUUUGUGAAUUCAUAAAACAGCUCAAAGGAGACUUUGGAAUCUCCUUACUGGACAUAUGGGAAAGCCAAAAUAUUUGUAAUUCAUCUGUGAAGCCUAGAUUCUCAAGUUUGAAUUCACCUCUUUUCUUUUUCUUCUCAGUCUUGCCGUAAAAUGUUGCUUUUCAAGAUCUCCGACAUCUCGAACCAUGCAAGUUUUACAGAGGUGUAUGGAUCUAUAUCAUCUGCUCACUUUAUGCCAGUACUUGCUGUGGCCAGGCGGUGGUGGCGCACGCCUUUAAUCCCAGCACUCGGGAGGCAGAGCCAGGCGGAUCUCUGUGAGUUCGAGGCCAGCCUGGACUACCAACACUGCCACAAAAGUAAAUACAAUUAGAACUUCAAUGGAUUUUGGUCAAAAAACUAAAAAUGAAGCCUCGUGAAACACUGUGCUUCAUACCUAUAAUUUCAGCACUUGGAUCACCAUUAUUUGGAGGCUAUCCUGUUCAUUCUGCACAGUAUGUCCCAGGCCAGCUAGGGCUACACAGUGAAACUUAGGCUCAAAAAGAAAAAGAUUAUCAACUCUCUCCAUUGCCAAAGAUAUCUGUAACUCAAAGAAUUGCAAUAAUAUGAAGCCUAAGAAAAUCCCUUCCAAAAUGCAUACAAGAAGGCCAAGAACAUUCACAGCCUACAGAAGCGAAGCAACCAACAAGAAAGAGGAGAUCCAGCUGAAGUGGGCAUGCUCAAUUAGCCCCCUGCUAGCCUCCCACAGCAAAGGAUAGCAGCCCUCAUCUGUCCAGUGCAGCACGGAGCGGUAGCCUCCCUGGUGAUGUGAGUAGCAGUCCAGUCAUCCUUGUUCCACAUCUGGUAUCCUCCUAUGAGUGAUACUAGCAGAUUUCAGGGAAAUCCAUCCUUUAAAGCCAGAAUUUUUUGGCUAUGGGUGUUCUGAAUGUGGAAUUUCCAACACAAGUAUUUUCUGGAAAAUGAGAAGUGCUCACUAAGUGUCUGUAGAAUGAAUAAGUGAUUAUUAAAGGAAGACUGUGGACACGGACACCCAGGAGCACCGUGAUUAAACAGGGACACCCUGUUCAAGCAAAAACUAUCUUCAACACUUUAAGCUAAACGCAAGCUAUCAUGCUAUUUCAUAACCCAGGUAAGGGCUAUGUUUUUAGAUGUUUACCUCUGUGGAUACUGAAGUACAACUUUCUUUGUGGAGGAAAUGUGCUUUUCAUGUAAAGUCAUGGUCCAUCUAUACAUAGUCAGUUACCAGGUACAUAAUGAAACUCCCAGAAGAAGUUGUUAUACUAUUAACUAUAAAUUAGACACAGUCCUGGGAAGUCCCAUUUUAAGAACAAAUAAAAAGAUUCUCAAUUUGAAGGGCACAGUUUAAGAUACAGUGGCAGGCUUCUGCGGCAGGGAUGCAAAGGAAAUUAAUAGAAAAGUGUACGGGGCUUGACAUUAGGAUAUUCUCAUGACCUCAGUCUUUUUCACUUCAUUUGCAUGAUGAAACUCUUGACUGCACUAAGAAGUGGCCUUGGUACAGUGGAGUUGGUGCUGCUGGGACUCAUCUAUCUACUUGCCCACCAUGUACUAACAAGAAGGAGAAAAGCUCUCUGGAAAUGUGUUGAUAUUACAACCUUUGCAAUUAUGCACAUGAUGAGGUGCUGUUGAACAGUUUGGAAAAUCAGGUUCAGUAAAAGCAUGUUAUUACAAGAGCAAUGUACAGUGAAGCAUAAUUAGGGAGGCUUUAGAACUCAUGGGAAAUCUGAAUUCCCCUUGUUAGAAAGAACUUAUUCAGAAAGCAGGGAGAAAGGAACUGGAGGCAUAGGGAGAACUGUGGCAUUAAUGAUAUUAGUAACAGUUUUCCCAGUUUGUAAAUUCAUUGACCAGUAGGAUAACAGAGAAUAAUUUUUAGCCUUCAGCUCUGAGCCAAAACCCACAAAAAAAUGGGAGCUCCAGAGACCAACUAUGUCUACUAAUUUACUUUUAGUGUAUGAGAUAUAAUUACAAAGCAAUUAGAUGUGGCUAUCUAAGUACAAACCACCUUUAAUUUAGGAGGUGUCCAGAGCUGUCAAAUAAAAUGAAAACAUUUUCCUUCCACUUUUCAAAUUUUGUUGUAACUAUAGCACUUUUUAGCAAAUUACACUUGCCUGGGGAGUCUUUUCUUAGCCAUCAAGGACCAAGGUCAAAAAAUAAUGAAGAGUCAAGGAGAUAAUUGAUCCUGACAAUCAAAAUUGCCUCAUAGAUAAGCUGGAUCAUUCCUCCAGUUGAAAGCUGGAAUCACACAGGGAGGGCCUUGAAACAUACCAGCCAGAAGCUGAUGGUUUUGGCCAGCAUAAGGAUGUCAUCAACCCAGAAAGAAGCAUUGACUCAAAGUAGAAAAGGUGAUAAAAUGACUACUGAGAAUUUUACUUUUCCAAACUCUAUAUUCUCUUAUUCUGGGAUUGUUAAGCUAGAAUGAUGCAGAUCCUGGAUGUCCAUAUGUCAAAAGAAAUGAUGUAAGGAGACUGUAAUGGUCUGAAUAUAGGCUUGCCAUCCAUACGCUAAUGUUCUGGAAGCUUGGGAUCUGUCAUGGUUAAGAUGAAGGACUAGUGAGCAAAAUUAGGUCAUAGAACUUCUUGAGAAGUGAUUUAUACCUGCCCCUUGAGAGUGAAUUUGGUUUCAUGGAACUACAUUAGAAUGUAACAUUACUGGACUCUUCUGCCCUUCCAAUACUCUCAUUCAGUAAUUUCCAUUCACCAUAUUUUGACCUGUAGUCGGAAGGAGGAUAGACAGUUAUGUAAAGAAACAGUUUUAAAAAAUAAAGUCUUUUAAAGAGACAGUAAAAGUAAUAUAAAAGUUAAGCCACAUAAAGAUGGAAAUCACACAGAAAGUCUGGAUUAUACUGUCUUUGGGAUUUUUAACGGGAGAAAGACAUUUGAUUGUAAAGGCUGCUGAGUUAAACCAAUAUAUGUAUUUUAAAGGUAUCUUGACUUCAAAAUUUGUAUCUAAAGAUAUGUUGUUUUGGAAAAGAGGUUCUGCUUUUGUUUCCACAGAAGAUGAGAACCUAUGGAUUGCUUCUAGGCUCAUAUGGUUUGAUUAGCCAAGACCCCCUUAAAGGUCUCUGAUGACACCAUGACUCAGAUGAUCCAACAUCCACAAUGGUUUCAAUGGCUCAGACAAUGCAGCCUCACGACUAUUCCAGAGAGGACUUGACCAUAAUUCUUAAUUUUCUCAGGAUCUUUAUAAGAUUGCAGUGUGCCUAACCAGCAGGAAGUAGUAAGAGAAGCUAUGCCCAAAUUCCCAAAAUAUUGUUUAUGAAUGUUUAUUUUUAUUUAAAGGAGAUUGAUUAUAAAUGAAAUCUCUUUCUUAAAAAAGGGGAGGAUGUGAUAUAGAAAUAUAGGAUAGGGCUGGAGAGAUGGCUCAACAGUUAAGAGCACUGGCUGCUCUUCCAGAGGUCCUGAGUUCGAUUCCCAGCAACCACAUGGUGGCUCGAACCAUCUGUAAUGAGAUCUGGCGCCCUCUUCUGGCCGUGCAGGCUAUACACUGUAACAUAGUAAAUAAAUCUUUAAAAAAAAAAAAAAAAAGAAAGAAAUAUAGGAUAAAUAUUUUACGUUGCUAUAGAUUUUAGUUUGUUGAUACAAAUUUAAAGUUAAUUUUGUUAUACUGUAUGUAUGUUUCUACUCUUGUUUAAGGUAUUAUGUUUAUGAAACUCAUUUGAAAUUGUAGUGUAUAGUUGAGAAAUACAGAUUAAUAAUUAGUUAUCUAUGAUAACUACACUUACAGUCAUGUUAGUUAAGUUUUCUAGGUAUACAUAGAUAUAUUUCAAUUAGGUAGGUAAUCUUCAAACACUUCAAAGACCUACAGAAUAUGGCAUUUAAAAUGUUUUAAGAACUUAGACUUUCUGGACAGUGAGACAUGUCUGUUCUUGGCAGCACCAAUUUAGAGAGGAGGAUGGGCAUCAAAGACACUCCAUAUGGAGUUUAUCUUCUUCUUGGCAGAACUAGCCAUUUGGGCAAGAAACUGUUCUUGCCUGGAAUAAUUGACAAAAUGUUGUAUAGACUGGACAUACAGGAUCCAUGGAAAAAUGACCAUUAAAUUUUGCCAAAACAAGGCAAGAUGGUCCUUCAGUUUCCUGCUUCACAGAGGAGAGGCAGAGAGACGCCAGCCUGCCGCCCAAGGAACAACAUGCCAGCAGACUGGUAAGCCACAGAACACAUGGCAAAACAUAGAUUAAUAAAAAUGGGUUAAUUUAAGUUAUAAGAGCUAGCUAGCAAGAGGCCUGCCAUAUGCCAUGCAAUUGUUAAUUAAUAUAAGCCUCUGAGUAAUUAUUUUAUAAGCAGCUGUGGAACCACAGGCCAGGCGGGACCCAAGAAACCUUCCAACUGUAUUGACCAAUGAAUGAUACACUCAGCAGAUGUGGAUGCUUAAACUUGAAUAUUACUUCCAAAGCAGUGAGUCAAAAUAAAUGUCAUUUGUUUGAAAGUAUUCAGCCCAAAUAGUCUUUUUACAGCACUAAAAAAGAGACCUUGCUGUAGACUAGGGCAAUGUCAGUACUGCAUGGAUGACUAGUAUGUAUAGGGGAGAGUGAGAAAUUUUCAGAUCCAAGUUGUAGGGUAGGUUGAGAAGAAAUACCUCAAGACCAGUCCAAAUCAUCAAGGAGUUGGAUGUCUGUCUGGGCUCAGAAGAAGAGGGUAAGGCUUAGUGCUACUGUCAUGUUCCAUAUUGUCUUUGUACCUAUACCCAAAGAAGAGGGAUUUGCACAGAAAAUGAAUAAGUAGCUGCAUUCUCUCUUCUCAACAUUCAAUGUUCUUGCGUGCCAGCCAGGACACCUGGUGUCCCCUAAAUAGCUACUUUUGUAAUGGACUGGAAUCUCGGAUUCUGAGGGCUGACAGCUAUGUCCUACUUUAGGAGUGUUCCUUAGCACAAAGAAGCUGCCUCACCAAAACUGUGCCCUCUUCCUAUGACUCAUCGUGUGUUAAGGAAUAAAGGACUUUUCCACUUCUACAAAUCAGAACACCUGUAGAUGGCUAUUACACCUCCAAAGAAUUCUCACUCCUGACAUUUUCUGCCUUGCCCCUGGUUCCUUCCUUGUCUUCAAAGCUCAAAUUGAUCCUUCAGCUCUGUAGUAGGAUGGCAGCAACAGCGUCUAUCAGCAGAAUCAUUGAGAAGUUUGAGAUAACUGAAUGCUUGGUUCAAGAAACAUGAGCAGCAGCUCAACACAGUGAGAAAGACCAUUCCAUUUCCUGUUCAUUAUGUUGUGGACAUUGCUGACGAAAGAGGAUGGAAGUUGUUUACAGAUAACUGUGGAUGAAGCUGUAAGAUUAGGUGCAAACAAUCUGACAAAUGGGACCAUGGAUCAUCACUUCUGGGCUUGAUCCAGAAUAGACUGUGACUAGGAAAGAGGUCAUCCUCUAGCUAUGCAGACGGUGGUCUCUGUGACACCCAAUGUCUCGAAGACUUCCUCUCUCAAACCUCUAGACAUACAUUCUGAUAUCCUGUCAGGACUUCCCAGCCCAGGCCAUGACUAGAGCAGAACUAUUGAGAGUCAAGAAAAGGAAUUCUAUGCCGCGGAGAGUUCUAGGUUCUGUCUACAAACCCCAGCUUCAAACCUUCUGCUGAGAUUAUUGGUUGGCUUUUGAUUGAGGCUUAAUUUCAGGACUGUGCCUCAAUGGAUGCCUUCCACUGAAGAAGCAGGGAUAGGAUUUCAUCAAGACAGUGAAUUCUAAAGAGAGAAUUGGGGGGCUAGAACUUACCUAUGUGGGUUCAUUGGCAGCAUGUGAGACCAUAGCCAAAUGAUUAAGUUCUCAAUCUGUCAGUUUCCUUGUGUGGUUAGCUCUGGGUAUGAUAGUGAUGUCUUAUUGUAGCCUGUCAUUUUUAAAGGGAUGUUUGUACACAUUUAUGAGAUUACAUUUUCUAAACCAAAUGACUUUUUUUUUCUAAUGCUUAUAUUCCAGCAUUUGUAAAUCAUUCUAUUGUGUGAGUUAGAUUCUACCUGGCUACUAUUUAAAGCAGGAAAAAAAAAAACUCCUGAGUAAGAAGCCAGCCAGGCUGAGCAAGGAGGCAGAAAACCUGCAGCCAUGCUGCCUUAAUUUCCUCGUGCAGUUUUUCCACACCAAAGCUUGGUUUUCAAAUUGCAGUCACUAAAUAGAAUGAUUUGGAAGGAGAAUCUGCUUCCAUUGUUCCCUGUGUCCUGGGUUAAAACUCAGUUCUUGUGAAGACAAAGGCUUUGCCUGCUCAAGUGGACUUGAGAGAAACAUUGUUCCCAGCUUAAUCACCGAACAAGAUGGAGGCAGAGUCUCUGGGUGGAAAGUGUUCAAAUGUGACAGGCUUGCCUUGCAGUUGGUUUGGUUUAGGAGGGUUUGCCAAACUGUCCCGAAGAUGGCGCCACGUGCUCAGCUUUAGAAAAGCCUGCGUCCUUUAGGCUGGUGUGUGAAAUCACCAGAAACUGUUGCCUGGAAAUAACUAACAUUCCACUGUUAAAGCCUGAAGAUUAAACUAAUUCACCCAAGAAAUGA